GGCGGCAGGCCUAACACAUGCAAGUCGAGCGGCAGCACGGGUACUUGUACCUGGUGGCGAGCGGCGGACGGGUGAGUAAUGCCUAGGAAUCUGCCUGGUAGUGGGGGAUGACGCUCGGAAACGGACGCUAAUACCGCAUACGUCCUACGGGAGAAAGCAGGGGACCUUCGGGCCUUGCGCUAUCAGAUGAGCCUAGGUCGGAUUAGCUAGUUGGUGAGGUAAUGGCUCACCAAGGCGACGAUCCGUAACUGGUCUGAGAGGAUGAUCAGUCACACUGGAACUGAGACACGGUCCAGACUCCUACGGGAGGCAGCAGUGGGGAAUAUUGGACAAUGGGCGAAAGCCUGAUCCAGCCAUGCCGCGUGUGUGAAGAAGGUCUUCGGAUUGUAAAGCACUUUAAGUUGGGAGGAAGGGCAUUUACCUAAUACGUAAGUGUUUUGACGUUACCGACAGAAUAAGCACCGGCUAACUCUGUGCCAGCAGCCGCGGUAAUACAGAGGGUGCAAGCGUUAAUCGGAAUUACUGGGCGUAAAGCGCGCGUAGGUGGUUCG
rnacentral:rRNA from 1 species